GACGAACGCUGGCGGCGUGCUUAACACAUGCAAGUCGAACGGAAAGGCCCUGCUUUUGUGGCGUGCUCGAGUGGCGAACGGGUGAGUAACACGUGAGUAACCUGCCCUUGACUUUGGGAUAACUUCAGGAAACUGGGGCUAAUACCGGAUAGGAGCUCCUGCUGCAUGGUGGGGGUUGGAAAGUUUCGGCGGUUGGGGAUGGACUCGCGGCUUAUCAGCUUGUUGGUGGGGUAGUGGCUUACCAAGGCUUUGACGGGUGGCCGGCCUGAGAGGGUGACCGGGCACAUUGGGACUGAGAUACGGCGCAGACUCCUACGGGAGGCAGCAGUGGGGAAUAUUGCACAAUGGGCGGACGCCUGAUGCAGCAACGCCGCGUGCGGGAUGACGGGCUUCGGGUUGUAAACCGCUUUCGCCUGUGACGAAGCGUGAGUGACGGUAAUGGGUAAAGAAGCAACGGCUAACUACGUG
rnacentral:rRNA from 1 species